rnacentral:rRNA from 1 species
GAUGAACGCUGGCGGCGUGCCUAAUACAUGCAAGUCGAGCGAACAGACGAGGAGCUUGCUCCUUCGACGUUAGCGGCGGACGGGUGAGUAACACGUAGGUAACCUACCUAUAAGACUGGGAUAACUUCGGGAAACCGGAGCUACUACCGGAUAAUAUUUCGAACCGCAUGGUUCGAUAGUGAAAGAUGGCUUUGCUAUCACUUAUAGAUGGACCUGCGCCGUAUUAGCUAGUUGGUAAGGUAACGGCUUACCAAGGCAACGAUACGUAGCCGACCUGAGAGGGUGAUCGGCCACACUGGAACUGAGACACGGUCCAGACUCCUACGGGAGGCAGCAGUAGGGAGUCUUCCGCAAUGGGCGAAAGCCUGACGGAGCAACGCCGCGUGAGUGAUGAAGGUCUUCGGAUCGUAAAACUCUGUUAUUAGGGAAGAACAAACGUGUAAGUAACUGUGCACGUCUUGACGGUACCUAAUCAGAAAGCCACGGCUAACUACGUG